GGCACUUUGGCGGAGUGGUUAACGCGAUGCCCUGCUAUAUUGUAGCUUAGGCAUUCCCUUCGGGGGCGUGUGUUCGAAUCACACAGGUGUCG
rnacentral:tRNA from 1 species